AGUGAACGCUGGCGGCGUGCUUAACACAUGCAAGUCGAACGAGAACGGGUUAUAGCUUGCCAUAAUUGUCAGCUAAGUGGCGCACGGGUGAGUAAUGUAUAGGUAAUAUGCCUCUUACUAAGGGAUAACAAAUGGAAACGUUUGCUAAUACCUUAUACUCCUUUUAAACAGAAGUUUAAAAGGGAAAGAUUUAUUGGUAAGAGAUUAGCCUGUAUUGUAUCAGUUAGUUGGUGGGGUAAUGGCUUACCAAGACUAUGACACAUAACUGGUUUGAGAGGAUGAUCGGUCACACUGGAACUGAGACACGGUCCAGACUCCUACGGGAGGCAGCAGUGGGGAAUAUUGCACAAUGGACGAAAGUCUGAUGCAGCAACGCCGCGUGGAGGAUGACACAUUUCGGUGCGUAAACUCCUUUUAUAUGAGAAGAUAAUGACGGUAUUAUAUGAAUAAGCACCGGCUAACUCCGUGCCAGCCGCCGCGGUAA
rnacentral:rRNA from 1 species